UGGGGAAUAUUGCACAAUGGGCGAAAGCCUGAUGCAGCAACGCCGCGUGAGUGAUGAAGGCCUUCGGGUUGUAAAGCUCUGUCUUUUGGGACGAUAAUGAUGGUACCAAAGGAGGAAGCCACGGCUAACUACGUGCCAGCAGCCGCGGUAAUACGUAGGUGGCAAGCGUUGUCCGGAUUUACUGGGCGUAAAGGAUGCGUAGGCGGAUUUUUAAGUGAGAUGUGAAAACCCUAAGCUUAACUUGGGGACUGCAUUUCAUACUGGAAAUCUAGAGUGCGGGAGAGGAGAAUGGAAUUCCUAGUGUAGCGGUGAAAUGCGUAGAGAUUAGGAAGAACACCAGUGGCGAAGGCGAUUCUCUGGACCGUAACUGGCGCUGAGGCAUGAAAGCGUGGGUAGCAAACAGGAUUAGAUACCCUGGUAGUCCACGCCGUAAACGAUGAGUACUAGGUGUAGGAGGUAUCGACCCCUUCUGUGCCGCAGUUAACACAAUAAGUACUCCGCCUGGGAAGUACGAUCGCAAGAUUAAAACUCAAAGGAAUUGACGGGGUCAUAGCUGUUUCC
rnacentral:rRNA from 1 species